rnacentral:rRNA from 1 species
UAGAGUUUGAUCCUGGCUAAAUCCCGGGUAUGCAUUCAGGAUGAACGCUGGCGGCGUGCUUAACACAUGCAAGUCGAACGGUGAAGGAGAGCUUGCUUUCUGGAUCAGUGGCGAACGGGUGAGUAACACGUGAGCAAUCUGCCCCUGACUCUGGGAUAAGCGCUGGAAACGGCGUCUAAUACUGGAUAUGAGCCGCAGCCGCAUGGUUAGUGGUUGGAAAGAUUUUUUGGUCAGGGAUGAGCUCGCGGCCUAUCAGCUUGUUGGUGAGGUAAUGGCUCACCAAGGCGUCGACGGGUAGCUCCGGCCUGAGAGGGUGACCGGCCACACUGGGACUGAGACACGGCCCAGACUCCUACGGGAGGCAGCAGUGGGGAAUAUUGCACAAUGGGCGGAAGCCUGAUGCAGCAACGCCGCGUGAGGGAUGACGGCCUUCGGGUUGUAAACCUCUUUUAGCAGGGAAGAAGCUUUCGGGUGACGGUACCUGCAGAAAAAGCACCGGCUAACUACGUGCCAGCAGCCGCGGUAAUACGUAGGGUGCAAGCGUUAUCCGGAAUUAUUGGGCGUAAAGAGCUCGUAGGCGGUUUGUCGCGUCUGCUGUGAAAUCCCGAGGCUCAACUUCGGGUCUGCAGUGGGUACGGGCAGACUAGAGUGCGGUAGGGGAGAUUGGAAUUCCUGGUGUAGCGGUGGAAUGCGCAGAUAUCAGGAGGAACACCGAUGGCGAAGGCAGAUCUCUGGGCCGUAACUGACGCUGAGGAGCGAAAGGGUGGGGAGCAAACAGGCUUAGAUACCCUGGUAGUCCACCCCGUAAACGUUGGGAACUAGUUGUGGGGUCCAUUCCACGGAUUCCGUGACGCAGCUAACGCAUUAAGUUCCCCGCCUGGGGAGUACGGCCGCAAGGCUAAAACUCAAAGGAAUUGACGGGGACCCGCACAAGCGGCGGAGCAUGCGGAUUAAUUCGAUGCAACGCGAAGAACCUUACCAAGGCUUGACAUAUACAGGUAACGGCUGGAAACAGUCGCCCCGCAAGGUCUGUAUACAGGUGGUGCAUGGUUGUCGUCAGCUCGUGUCGUGAGAUGUUGGGUUAAGUCCCGCAACGAGCGCAACCCUCGUUCUAUGUUGCCAGCACGUUAUGGUGGGAACUCAUGGGAUACUGCCGGGGUCAACUCGGAGGAAGGUGGGGAUGACGUCAAAUCAUCAUGCCCCUUAUGUCAAGCCGGUCCCAGUUCAGAUUGAGGUCUGCAACUCGACCUCAUGAAGUCGGAGUCGCUAGUAAUCGCAGAUCAGCAACGCUGCGGUGAAUACGUUCCCGGGUCUUGUACACACCGCCCGUCAAGUCAUGAAAGUCGGUAACACCUGAAGCCGGUGGCCCAACCCUUGUGGAGGGAGCCGUCGAAGGUGGGAUCGGUAAUUAGGACUAAGUCGUAACAAGGUAGCCGUACCGGAAGGUGCGGCUGGAUUCGAUUGGCAAAUCACCUCCUUA